rnacentral:misc_RNA from 1 species
CAGAGUUGCAAAACUCCCAAACCCACUGUGAAUUUACCUGUCCUUGUUCCUUCGGCAGGCGGCCCCCGGGGGGGCUUCGCCGCAAGGCGCCUGCCGAGGGACAACCCUAACUCUUGUUAUCUCAGUGUUCUCUGAGCAACUAUAAAAAAGUUA